rnacentral:rRNA from 1 species
GACGGAGGAGGCAAGCGUUAUCCGGAAUGAUUGGGCGUAAAGCGUUCGCAGGUGGCUGUUCAAGUCUGCUGUCAAAGACCGGGGCUUAACCCCAGAAAGGCAGUGGAAACUGAACGGCUGGAGUGCAGUAUGGGUAGAGGGAAUUCCCAGUGUAGCGGUGAAAUGCGUAGAGAUUGGGAAGAACACCGGUGGCGAAAGCGCUCUGCUGGACUGCAACUGACACUGAGGGACGAAAGCUAGGGGAGCGCAAGGG